CCUACGGGAGGCAGCAGUGGGGAAUAUUGCACAAUGGGCGCAAGUCUGAACCAGCCAUGCCGCGUGCAGGAUGACGGCUCUAUGAGUUGUAAACUGCUUUUGUACGAGGGUAAACGCAGAUACGUGUAUCUGUCUGAAAGUAUCGUACGAAUAAGGAUCGGCUAACUCCGUGCCAGCAGCCGCGGUAAUACGGAGGAUCCAAGCGUUAUCCGGAUUUAUUGGGUUUAAAGGGUGCGUAGGCGGUUUGAUAAGUUAGAGGUGAAAUACCGGUGCUUAACACCGGAACUGCCUCUAAUACUGUUGAACUAGAGAGUAGUUGCGGUAGGCGGAAUGUAUGGUGUAGCGGUGAAAUGCUUAGAGAUCAUACAGAACACCGAUUGCGAAGGCAGCUUACCAAACUAUAUCUGACGUUGAGGCACGAAAG
rnacentral:rRNA from 1 species